rnacentral:lncRNA from 1 species
GUCCGCAUGUAAACUUCUAGCAUUCGUCACCAAUAUGAGUACAUCGCAAUCCGUUACUGUUUCAACACCCAGGGGUGUUUCAUGUCUGUAUUCUCAAACAAUUAUUAUUUUUUUUCUCUCUUUUUUAGCAAUGCAUCAAUCUCUACUGUCCUUAUCUACUAUUCUAUAUUCUGCGUCUCCAUCCAGAUUCUCGUGUAUACCAUGAGGGUCCGGAUUGGGGUGGUGUUUAUUUCUGUAUUCUUUAAAUUGUUAUGUCACUUUUCUCUACAUUUUAUUUAUCUUACUCAGUAUUAUUAAUUCGUAUAUUUUAACUUAU